UACGUAGGUGACCAGCGUUGUCCGGAUUUACUGGGCGUAAAGAGCGCGCAGGCGGUCGUUCAAGUCGAGUGUGAAAGCCCCCGGCUCAACUGGGGAGGGUCACUCGAUACUGAUCGACUUGAAGGCAGGAGAGGGAAGCGGAAUUCCCGGUGUAGUGGUGAAAUGCGUAGAUAUCGGGAGGAACACCGGUGGCGAAGGCGGCAUCCUGGACCGACACUGACACUGAGGAGCGAAAGCCAGGGGAGCAAACGGG
rnacentral:rRNA from 1 species